rnacentral:rRNA from 1 species
AUGGUAAGUAGCUCCAUAACUGUUCCAAAAAAGUGUAAAGUAGUGCACAAAUGGAGAACUUUCAAGCAGCUACACCUUGAUGAGGCCAGUUGUUCACGAAUGUUACCACCAGCUUUGGACAAAACAUGAGCAAUACCCUCUUUAAGAACUUCAUUAUCCUCCUUCAGAAGUUCAAUGAUAUCUUCUUCGAAUCCAGAUAAAAGUGAAGGGAAGAAACUAGAUAUUGCCUGCAAUUAG